UACGAAGGGGGCUAGCGUUGCUCGGAAUCACUGGGCGUAAAGGGCGCGUAGGCGGCCAUUCAAGUCGGAGGUGAAAGCCCAGGGCUCAACCCUGGAAUUGCCUUCGAUACUGUCUGGCUAGAGACCGGAAGAGGUAAGUGGAACUGCGAGUGUAGAGGUGAAAUUCGUAGAUAUUCGCAAGAACACCAGUGGCGAAGGCGGCUUCCUGGUCCAGCACCGACGUUCAGGCACGAAAGCGUGGGGAGCAAACAGGG
rnacentral:rRNA from 1 species